CCCUUGGAAUUACAUUCUAAUUGUGGGAGCACUCUACCUAAUCAGCAUCACCUGCUGUCUCAGUCUUAACUAUAGGCGGCAUUUAGAGGAAAAUGCAGUACUUUCCCCUUAUCCGCAGUUUCGCUUUCCACAGUUUUAGUUCCCACUGUCACCUGAGGUCUGGAAGCCAGCGAUCCUCCUUCUGACGAAUCAUCAGAAGGUUAAUAGCAGUCUGACUCUACCUCGCAAUGCCUGCAUCUUUCACCGGGCUUGGUCUCCUUACACAGGCGUUUUAUCAUCUCCCGACAUCAGAACAAGAAUGUCCAAACUGGAAAUUUUCCAGGAGGUGGUCUAUUUGCAACUGACAAAAGUCAAAAGUUUGUGGUGUUCCAAGAAUUGAAACAGGAAAUGUGCAUGGGUCCUGCUUCCUUCAAGGUCUGUCCAACUCCAUUUUGACUGGAAGUCACUCAUGAUCCCUUUCAGAAGGAAUUGUCAGCACAAACAAUGCAGAUUACAAGAUGAGAAAAUCCAAAACAAAGCACAUGCACAAACCUCCCAGUUCUGGAGGUUGGGGAGUCCAAGAUCAAGAUGCCAGCAGAUAUGGUAUGUGAGAGCCUACUUCCUGGUUUAUAGAUGGCCAUCUUUUCACUGUGUUCUUUCUGCGUGAUGGAAGAGGUAGCUACUAUCCAACUUAUCCAAGUUUAAGCCAUAAGAAAAUGCAUGGACUUCUGUACCUGAGAAGAAACUGGAAAGAAAAAAAAAUAACACAGAAUCCAAGCAUGAGCUGAAGAAACUGGAGCCCCAGGAACUGAAGGGACAUCAGACUGCAGCUAGGCUGUCGUGGACAAGCUGACUUCGAAUCAAAACUAAACCACACUAAACUAAAAUUACACAAAGCAUGAGAUUGAGAUAAGGGGAUGACAAGUAUCCAGCUGCAAUCUGCUAAAUAACAUGAUGAUAAAUAUGGGCUCUAUUGCUCCAAUAACAUUGCCGCAGACUUAUCAGAUCAGAAGGUUUUUUGGAUCCAUCUGAAUAAGAGGAGUACCUGAUAGACUUUUCACCUAUGGAAGGCUGACAGCAAGGAGAGAAAGCAGAAACUUCCUUUGGCUUUAUCAUAAUGCUGAUGAGGAGGAAGAGGGGAAGAAUCAAGAGUGCUUCAACCUUUGCAUGGAAAUCACAUAUGUAACAUGAAAGUAUUUCUCUGCUAACUAUUAUCUAUUAAUUUGGGGGAGAGUUAGGAGGACUAUAUGUUUUGAAUCCCCAAUAACUGCCAGGCAUAAUAGCAGGCAUUUUGGCUAACGAAAAAGAACUAACAUUUGCUAAAUGUCUCUAGAUACUAGAAACCAGGCUCCUUUCAAUAUAUACAUUUCAUUGAAUCCACUAAUCCUCAGAAUGUGAAACCUUCUUUUUGGCAAGUGAAGAAAUAAUUUCCAAAGGUUUGCAGACAAAGCGAGUAAGUAGAAGAGGCAGGGAUUAAACAGGUCUGAACAAUCACCACAUUUUACUCUUUCAAAAAUACCAAGUUAGUACAACCAGGAAAGUAAAAAUCCUAUUAACAACUAGGGGAUCAUCGAUACAGCACUUCUUAGAGUUAUUAUAUUAUUAACAUUUUUUUCAAAUGCAGUUUCUAUAUUGAAGGGAAUGUAAUAUGCAAAUAUUUUAAAGGGUCUUACAGGUAAUUAAAAAUAUCAAAGACAUUAAAAAGCAUGCCAGGUAUUUUUGUUUUCAUUCCAAAAUUUUUCAACAAACCUUUUUUUUUUCUUUUUAAGCCUAAGGUAAAUUUCAGAACAACCAUUAUCAACAUUAUUUAAAUCUCUUAAUAGAUGGAGACUAAAGUAUUAAAGUUGUAUCACUAUGGAUGAAGAGCUUCAUUCUCUUAGAAUGGCUGUCUUGUCAAUUCUCUGAAUUUAUUUCAUAAUUGCUGAUACACAUCUUCUUACAUAAUCCUACCACUUAAGAGAAUGGCUGGAGGCCUACCCAUUUCUCAUCCAGGUUUUUUCAAAUCUCUCCUCUCUCAUCUGAUCUCAUAGUUUCUCUGCUGUUUUUGUCUGGUGACCAUCCUCACUAAAUACAUUAGGUUCUAGACUUUUUUUUUAAUAUCAAAGCUAUUUCUCCUGGUAUGUUCUAAGCAUAUUGAGGGAAAGGACAAAAUGUUAUCAUUUUUUCUAUCAUUUACAAUACCCAUUAACAGGCAGAUACCAAAAGAGAUACAUGACAGUCAAGAACUAUGGAGUAGAUUUAAGAUCAAAUGUAUAGGUUUGUGAUCAAAUCCUUUUGUGUCACUUACUUAGCUGUGCAAACUUAAGCAAAUUAAUUAACUCUCAUUUAUAAAAUGGAAACCCAAAAGCUUUACAGGUUUUUUCAUGAAACUUUAUAAAGUUGUCUCACAGCCCUUAUUUUCAAAGAAUAGCCAGUGGUUAUUAGAAAUAUACCAAUAGUAUACAUUGAAUAAAUUACUUAGCCUUGUUAAGGCAUAGUUUUCUUGUCCACAAAAUGAAUAUGAAAAUAAUUGUUAUCUCGCAGGACUAUAAUGGCUAUUAAAUAAGGUGAUAUAACUACAUUUCUUAGCAGAGUGUUUCCAUAAAUGUUCAACUAUUUCAGCAGUUUGGCCACGUGCCCCAAAAUGACACCUGACAUUCCGUCUUAUUAAAUCCAGUCUACUUCCUCAGUCCCUGCGUGCUUUGCUUAUCCUGGAAGAAGUCUAGAACUUCAAGUAGAAGAGAAGAGGACAGAAGUUGUCUGCUAGAACAAGAACAAAUG